rnacentral:rRNA from 1 species
GUGUCAGCCGCCGCGGUAAUACGAAGGGGGCUAGCGUUGCUCGGAAUGACUGGGCGUAAAGGGCGCGUAGGCGGAUUGUACAGUCAGACGUGAAAUUCCUGGGCUCAACCUGGGGGCUGCGUUUGAUACGUAUAGUCUUGAGUGAGGAAGAGGGUUGUGGAAUUCCCAGUGUAGAGGUGAAAUUCGUAGAUAUUGGGAAGAACACCGGUGGCGAAGGCGGCAACCUGGUCCUUUACUGACGCUGAGGCGCGAAAGCGUGGGGAGCAAACAGGAUUAGAAACCCGGGUAGUCC